GCCCAUACCAUGCUGAAUAUACCGGUUCUCGUUAGAUCACCGAAGUCAAGCAUCAUUGGGCGCGGUCAGUACUUGGAUGGGUCACCACCAGGGAACACCGCGUGCCGUUG
rnacentral:rRNA from 1 species